rnacentral:rRNA from 1 species
UACGAAGGGGGCUAGCGUUGCUCGGAAUUACUGGGCGUAAAGGGCGCGUAGGCGGAUAUCUAAGUUGGGGGUGAAAGCCCGGGGCUCAACCUCGGAAUAGCCUUCAAUACUGGAUAUCUUGAGUACGGGAGAGGUGAGUGGAACUCCGAGUGUAGAGGUGAAAUUCGUAGAUAUUCGGAAGAACACCAGUGGCGAAGGCGACUCACUGGCCCGUUACUGACGCUGAGGCGCGAAAGCGUGGGGAGCAAACAGG